rnacentral:lncRNA from 1 species
CGGGGCUGCUCCCACCAAAUGUCGGGCAUGCACUGAUAGUGUAAUGAGAAAAGAAAAUGAUUAGAAGGCGACUGAUAAAACUUGUUUCCACAUUAAAGAAGGAAGAGAUGAACGAUACUUAUCAAGCUAUAAGUGACUGUACAUGUAAGCAGAAUGCAAGUGCAACAAACAUAAUUGCCACAUCACAGAGAAAACCAGGAAAAGGCUAUGACAAUUGAAGAUUUCAGCCUCACAUGAAAAUAUAGAAAACUUCUAACCAAAAAACUCCACAAUUGUGGCGCAAACCUCUCCAUAUUUACUAAUGCCACUGCACCAUCAGAUGUUGAUGGCAACACCAUAAAACAGCAGAUAGCAGAAAAAUUCAGUGAAAUAAAUAUGAAGCAGCAAGUAUUACCUU